AGGAGUAACUAAUUCUAUACGAUGCCUUGUACCUCCAGGUAAAGGGGUAGGGGAAGUAGAUGUAAAAGAGAGAUAAGGAUUUGCUUAAAUGGAGAGGUAAGUUUUCCAUACGGUGUCGAGGCAACCACCGUGCCGAAAUUAAAAAGUUAAAUUUUGAAAAUUGAAAUGAUACGAAAAUUUUAAAUCCAUAUUACCCAAUAUCAUAAUUAGAUGUGACAACUAAUUACUAAGUUAAUAUAGUUAAAGAGCCUCAUUUAAAAAAUGGGUUAAGUAUAGGGGCGCCUGGGUGGCUCAGUGGGUUAAGCAUCCAACUUGGGCUCAGGUCAUGAACUCACUCUUGGUGAGUUCGAGCCCACCAAGGGGGUGCUGAUCCCACCAAGAAGGGGGCUCCACAAGGCCUGGGGUUUCCUGAGGCCGGACCUGACUGAGGUCUGGGCACUGAGAACUUUCCAGGCUACCAGGGCAAAAUUCAGAUGUGGAAGCCCCAACCCUCAGUGUGGUGGUAUUUGGAGGUGGGAAUUUGGAGAGCUGAUUAGUUCUAGCUUAGUUAAUGAGAGGAGGACCUUCGUGAUGAUGGAUUCGUGGUUUUAUUUUUUUUUAUUUGUUUUUUAAUGUUUAUUUAUUUUUGACAGAGAGAGAGACAGAGCAUGAGCAGGGGAGGGGCAGAGAGAGAGGGAGACACAGAAUCGAAAGCAGGCUCCAGGCUCUGAGCUGCCAGCACAGAGCCCGAUGCGGGGCCUGAACUCACAGACCGUGAGAUCAUGACCUGAGCCGAAGUCAGACGCUCAACCGACUGAGCCACCCAGGUGCCCCGGAUUCGUGGUUUUACAGAGACGCCAGAUUCUCUAUCCUCUCCCCCUCGCCCCCACCACGUCCCCUCCACCACCAAUGAAAGGCCAUGUGAGGACACAGCUAAAGACAGCCGUCUCCAAACCAAGAAGCAAGCCCUCACCAGAACCCAGAUCUGCCGGCACCUUAAGCUUGGACUUCCAGGCUCCAGACCCAUGAAAAGCAAACCUCUCUUGUUUAAGCGCCCCAGUCUGUGCUACUUUGUUGUGGAGACUAAGACACAUCCCACUCUGUCCCUCCCGCCAAAGCCAGCCAGCUUCUCCAGGAGGCCACCUUCCUCUCCUGCUAAAAAUAAUCCCUGUCUUAACCCGGCCAACUGAUCUUCACUUCCUUCCUUCUGAAGAUCAUGGGAUUAAGCCUUUGACUUCUGGGAGGGAAAUACAGAAGCGAAUUGUGUGUGUGU